AGUGAACGCUGGCGGUAGGCCUAACACAUGCAAGUCGAACGGCAGCACAGGAGAGCUUGCUCUCUGGGUGGCGAGUGGCGGACGGGCGAGGAAUACAUCGGAAUCUACUCUGUCGUGGGGGAUAACGUAGGGAAACUUACGCUAAUACCGCAUACGACCUACGGGUGAAAGCAGGGGACCUUCGGGCCUUGCGCGAUGGAAUGAGCCGAUGUCGGAUUAGCUAGUUGGCGGGGUAAAGGCCCACCAAGGCGACGAUCCGUAGCUGGUCUGAGAGGAUGAUCGGCCACACGGGAAAUGAGACACGGUGCAGAAUCCUACGGGAGGCGGCAGUGGGGAAUAUUGGACAAUGGGCGCAAGCCUGAUCCAGCCAUACCGCGUGGGUGAAGAAGGCCUUCGGGUUGUAAGCCCUUUUGUUGGGAAAGAAAUCCAGCUGGCUAAUACCCGGUUGGGAUGACGGUACCCAAAGAAUAAGCACCGGCUAACUUCGUGCCAGCCGCCGCCGUAA
rnacentral:rRNA from 1 species